UAAAGUAAGUUGUUUAUUGUGAAAUAUCGAUGGAAGUGGAGUCAAUAAUUCAAACAAGACCUGGUAUGAUUGUGCAAGGACAAACAAUGCAAUUGCAAGUGAAGGCAUCCACCAGCCCUGUUGCAUAUGAGAAACUUAAGAAUAUUCUUCUCAAAGAUCGUCCAAACCAGUUAUGAAAAAAAGAAGACGCGAGAGAAUAAAUAACAGUUUGAACGAACUGAAAAAUUUGCUUUAAGAAUCAAGGAAAAGAGAUACGGCUUGCUGCUCAAAGUUAGAAAAAGCUGACAUACUAGAAAUGACCGUGCAGUAUUUAAAAUCCAUCCGAAUGCAACAAGUAAAAGCAAUCAACCAUAACAGAUCCUGUUGCUUUGGCUCAUUACAGAGCAGGUUUCAAUCACAGCGCUAUGGAAAUCAACAAAUAUCUUAUGGAUACACCUGAUUUACAACUUAAAGUCCGUAAUAGACUUCUUACACAUCUCUCAAACACUUGUCAUGCUGUAUUCAGUAACCAUCAAACCAUUCAACACACAAAACAAUACAAUCUACCAAUGUACCAAUUGCCUGCAACAGUUAUCACUAAUGAACCUUCGUCUUCAAAAGAAAUAUUUUUCAAUUCAUCAACAUCAAUGUUCGUUUGAUUUUGCUCGUUAAGGAAAAUUCGUGUUUCAGAGUGGAUACAAUUUUUGAAUUCUUCCAUUAAAAUUAACUGCGUUCUCAUCAA